AAAGACCCUAUGAAGCUUGACUGUAGUCUGGAAUGGAAUUCGGGCUUUUCUUGCGCAGCCUAGGUGGGAGGCGUUGAAGAUUUCCUUCCGGGGAAAUCAGAGCCAUCAGUGAGAGACCACUCUGGGAAGGCUAGAAUUCUAAGGGCGAUCCUUGAAUCAGGACGCUUGACAGUUUCAGAUGGGCAGUUUCUCUGGGGCGGAGAUCUCCUAAAAGGUAACGGAGGUGCGCAACGGUCCCCUCAGUCUGGACGGAAAUCAGACAGCGAGUGUAAAGGCAAAAGGGGGCUUGACUGUAAGACCUACAAGUCGAACAGGGGCGAAAGCCGGCCUUAGUGAUCCGACGGUGCUGUGUGGAAAGGCCGUCGCUCAACGGAUAAAAGUUACUCUAGGGAUAACAGGCUGA
rnacentral:rRNA from 3 species